rnacentral:lncRNA from 1 species
AAUUUUGAUAGAAUAAUGGCUAGUUUUUUAAAAUUUUCAAAAUAUGUAUAAAAUAGUUUUAAUGAUUAUUUUCAAGCUUCCAAUGGCUAAAGCAUUAAUUAUAGAUAUUUUUUAGACCUUAAAUAUGAAGGAUUAAAAGAGGAAACUAAGUUUUUAAGUUUGUGAAGUUUAUUGAGUUAUUUUGUUUAAGCUAGUGUGUGAAACUCCAAAGAAAAAGAGGAAGGAAUUUAAGAGCACAUUAAAUGUAGUCCUUCCUACAUUCAAUCCACUUG